CUACGGAGGGUGCAAGCGUUACUCGGAAUCACUGGGCGUAAAGCGCGCGCAGGCGGUCUUUUAAGUUGGAUGUGAAAGCCUACGGCUCAACCGUAGAACUGCAUCCAAAACUAUUAGACUAGAGUGUGGGAGAGGAAGAUGGAAUUAGUCGUGUAGGGGUAAAAUCCGUAGAGAUAACUAGGAAUACCAAAAGCGAAGGCAAUCUUCUGGAACACUACUGACGCUGAGGCGCGAAAGCGUGGGGAGCAAACAGGAUUAGAAACCCCAGUAGUCC
rnacentral:rRNA from 1 species